rnacentral:rRNA from 1 species
CUCAGAUUGAACGCUGGCGGCAGGCUUAACACAUGCAAGUCGAGCGGUAACAGGGGGAGCUUGCUCCCCGCUGACGAGCGGCGGACGGGUGAGUAAUGCAUAGGAAACUGCCCAGUAGUGGGGGAUAGCCCGGGGAAACCCGGAUUAAUACCGCAUACGCCCUUUGGGGGAAAGCAGGGGAUCUUCGGACCUUGCGCUAUUGGAUGUGCCUAUGUCGGAUUAGCUAGUUGGUGGGGUAAGAGCCUACCAAGGCGACGAUCCGUAGCUGGUCUGAGAGGAUGAUCAGCCACAUCGGGACUGAGACACGGCCCGAACUCCUACGGGAGGCAGCAGUGGGGAAUAUUGGACAAUGGGGGCAACCCUGAUCCAGCCAUGCCGCGUGUGUGAAGAAGGCUUUCGGGUUGUAAAGCACUUUCAGUGAGGAGGAAAACCUUACGACUAAUACUCGUGAGGCUUGACGUUACUCACAGAAGAAGCACCGGCUAACUCCGUGCCAGCAGCCGCGGUAAUACGGAGGGUGCAAGCGUUAAUCGGAAUUACUGGGCGUAAAGCGCGCGUAGGUGGUUUGAUAAGCGAGAUGUGAAAGCCCCGGGCUCAACCUGGGAACGGCAUUUCGAACUGUCAGGCUAGAGUAUGGUAGAGGAGUGUGGAAUUUCCUGUGUAGCGGUGAAAUGCGUAGAUAUAGGAAGGAACACCAGUGGCGAAGCGGCA